UGUGUUUUUUUGGUGUGUACAGAUGGUAUGUUGCUAACGAAGGCAAAAACAAGAUGCAGUUUGCUGCAUAUAGAAAACGGAGAUUAAUUUGGUUCUCGCUAAAUGAAUCAAAGAUCAUAAGACUAGAACCAAUGGUUUCCAAAAAAGGACUUUAUCUACCGUUUACAAGUCAACCCCAUAAUACCAAAGUACAAGAGAAGCAAAGAUU